AAGUGAUCCUCCUGCCUCAGAGCAGAAGAGAAAUCUUGAGACCUCAAAGCAGCCAUUGGCAUUUCAGAUGCUUCUCCCCAUUUUCUCUUUGUCCAAAUGGCUACUUCUCUGAUUGUCCAUUAUUCGAUCAACAAUUAGCCCCAGGAAAGAGAAUCUAGAAUUUCCUAGGAAGGCAUUAUUAUCCUCCUUUCCUGCAGACAUUGUGGUGCAUCUUGGGAAGAGAAACUCAAAUUAGCUACCAAAAGAUGAGAGGAAUCCAUAGACUCUGGCCUGUCAGAGAACAAGGAAAAUACCAGCUUCAGGUGGGCAGUACCCCAGUUCCGUUCUGACAGCUUCUUGGCAAGUGUUGUAAGUAUCAGGCUUGACUGGAUGGGAAGGAGGACCUGAGGGGAAACAGCCAAAGAACGGGGGGGCAGGAAGAGAGGAAAGACGGAGACACAUGGAAACCCAAGGGAUGCACCAGUCUCAGCUGCUUCUGGGUUUAUGGUGCAGCGCCAGCGCCAUCAUGUGGUCAUCUCUGGGACUUCAGCAGAAGAAAUGAG